rnacentral:rRNA from 1 species
GACGAACGCUGGCGGCGUGCUUAACACAUGCAAGUCGAGCGGUAAGGCCCGUUUCGGGGGUACGACGAGCGGCGAACGGGUGAGUAACACGUGGGUGACCUGCCCUCAGCUCUGGGAUAAGCCUGGGAAACCGGGUCUAAUACUGGAUAUGACUCCAUGACGCAUGUUGGUGGGGUGGAAAGCCUUGUGCGGCUGAGGAUGGGCCCGCGGCCUAUCAGCUUGUUGGUGGGGUGANGGCCUACCAAGGCGACGACGGGUAGCCGGCCUGAGAGGGCGACCGGCCACACUGGGACUGAGACACGGCCCAGACUCCUACGGGAGGCAGCAGGUGGGGAAUCUUGCGCAAUGGGCGAAAGCCUGACGCAGCGACGCCGCGUGAGGGAUGACGGCCU